AUGAACGCUGGCGGCGUGCCUAAUACAUGCAAGUCGAGCGAACGGACGAGAAGCUUGCUUCUCUGAUGUUAGCGGCGGACGGGUGAGUAACACGUGGAUAACCUACCUAUAAGACUGGGAUAACUUCGGGGAAACCUUAGUUAAUACCGGAUAAUAUUUUAACCCGCAUGUUUCAAAAUUGAAAGACGUCUUUGCUUUCACUUAUAGAUGGUUCCGCGCUGCAUUAGCUAGUUGGUAAGGUAACGGCUUACCAAGGCAACGAUGCAUAGCCGACCUGAGAGGGUGAUCGGCCACACUGGAACUGAGACACGGUCCAGACUCCUACGGGAGGCAGCAGUAGGGAAUCUUCCGCAAAGGGCGAAAGCCUGACGGAGCAACGCCGCGUGAGUGAUGAAGGUCUUCGGAUCGUAAAACUCUGUUAUUAGGGAAGAACAUAUGUGUAAGUAACUGUGCACAUCUUGACGGUACCUAAUCAGAAAGCCACGGCUAACUACGUG
rnacentral:rRNA from 1 species